GAUGAACGCUGGCGGCGUGCCUAAUACAUGCAAGUCGAGCGAACAGACGAGGAGCUUGUUCCUUUGACGUUAGCGGCGGACGGGUGAGUAACACGUAGGUAACCUACCUAUAAGACUGGGAUAACUUCGGGAAACCGGAGCUAAUACCGGAUAAUAUUUCGAACCGCAUGGUUCGAUAGUGAAAGAUGGCUUUUCUAUCACUAAUAGAUGGACCUGCGCCGUAUUAGCUAGUUGGUAAGGUAACGGCUUACCAAGGCAACGAUACGUAGCCGACCUGAGAGGGUGAUCGCCAACACUGGAACUGAGACACGGUCCAGACUCCUACGGGAGGCAGCAGUGGGGAAUCUUCCGCAAUGGGCGAAGGCCUGACGGAGCAACGCCGCGUGAGUGAUGAGGGUCUUCGGAUCGUAAAACUCUGUUAUUAGGGAAGAACAAACGUGUAAGUAACUGUGCACGUCUUGACGGUACCUAAUCAGAAAGCCACGGCUAACUACGUG
rnacentral:rRNA from 1 species